rnacentral:lncRNA from 10 species
UACGUUCGACGGGAUUCAGAGGUGGUACUGCUCUUCUUCUAUGCCCCUUGGUGUGGACAGUCCAUCGCUGCCAGGGCAGAAAUUGAGCAAGCAGCAAGUCGGCUUUCAGAUCAGGUGUUGUUUGUGGCAAUUAACUGUUGGUGGAACCAGGGGAAAUGCAGAAAACAGAAACACUUCUUUUAUUUUCCUGUAAUAUAUCUGUAUCAUCGGAGUUUUGGACCAAUCGAAUACAAAGGCCCCAUGAGUGCUGUUUACAUUGAGAAGUUUGUCCGCCGGGUGAUGAAACCACUUCUCUACAUCCCAUCUCAAUCAGAAUUACUAGAUUUUCUCUCAAACUACGAGCCUGGAGUACUCGGGUACUUUGAGUUCAGUGGCUCACCCCAGCCUCCUGGUUAUUUGACCUUCUUCACCUCAGCAUUACAUUCAUUAAAGAAAGCUCACAUACAGAAAGAAUCACAGCUGCCAGGCGCGGUGGCUCACGCCUGUAAUCCCAGCACUUUGGGAGGCCGAGGCGGGCGGAUCACGAGGUCAGGAGAUCGAGACCAUCCUGGCUAACAUGAUUACCUAGGAACAGUACGAUUUGGGGUUAUCACAAAUAAACAUCUUGCGAAACUGGUAUCCUUAGUACACUCUGGAAGUGUGUAUUUACAUAGACAUUUCAACACAUCACUUGUCUUCCCCAGGGAGGUCCUGAACUACACAGCUGAGAACAUCUGUAAGUGGGCCUUAGAAAACCAGGAGACGCUCUUUCGGUGGCUGCGGCCACACGGAGGCAAGAGUCUCCUGCUGAAUAACGAGCUGAAGAAAGGACCAGCGCUGUUUCUGUUCAUACCUUUUAAUCCCCUGGCCGAAAGUCAUCCUUUA